rnacentral:rRNA from 1 species
ACUUAGCAUAUCAUAAGCGGAAGUACAAGAAGCAACAGGGGAUUACCUCAGUAACGGCGAGUGAAGCGGUAUCAGCUCAAAUUUGAAAUCUGGCUCUUUCAGGGUCCGAGUUGUAAUUUGUAGAAGAUGCUUUGGGUGUGCGCUCCGGUCUCAGUUCCCUUGGAACAGGACGUCAUAGAGGGUGAGAAUCCCGUAUGUGACUCGGCUGCCUUCGCCUAUGUAAAGCUCUUUCGACGAGUCGAGUUGUUUGGGAAUGCAGCUCUAAAUGGGAGGUAUAUUUCUUCUAAAGCUAAAUAUUGGCCAGAGACCGAUAGCGCACAAGUAGAGUGAUCGAAAGAUGAAAAGCACUUUGGAAAGAGAGUUAAACAGUACGUGAAAUUGUUGAAAGGGAAGCGCUUGCAACCAGACUUGCCUGCCGUCGAUCAUCCUGGGUUCUCCCUGGUGCACUCGGCGGUGGUCAGGCCAGCAUCGGUUUGGGUGGUGGGAUAAAGGCCUUGGGAACGUAGCUCCUCUCGGGGAGUGUUAUAGCCCUCGGUGCAAUGCCGCCUACUGGGACCGAGGACCGCGCUUCGGCUAGGAUGCUGGCGUAAUGGUUGUAAGCGACCCGUCUUGAAACACGGACCAAGGAGUCUAACAUCUAUGCGAGUGUUUGGGUGUUAAACCCAUACGCGUAAUUAAAGUGAACGGAGGUGAGAACCCUUUAGGGUGCACCAUCGACCGAUCCUGAUGUCUUCGGAUGGAUUUGAGUAAGAGCAUAGCUGUUGGGACCCGAAAGAUGGUGAACUAUGCCUGAAUAGGGUGAAGCCAGAGGAAACUCUGGUGGAGGCUCGCAGCGGUUCUGACGUGCAAAUCGAUCGUCAAAUUUGGGUAUAGGGGCGAAAGACUAAUCGA